rnacentral:rRNA from 1 species
UACGUAGGGUGCGAGCGUUGUCCGGAAUUAUUGGGCGUAAAGGGCUCGUAGGCGGUUUGUCGCGUCGGGAGUGAAAUCCACUGGCUUAACUGGUGGCUUGCUUUCGAUACGGGCAGACUGGAGGUAUGCAGGGGAGAACGGAAUUCCUGGUGUAGCGGUGAAAUGCGCAGAUAUCAGGAGGAACACCGGUGGCGAAGGCGGUUCUCUGGGCAACUACUGACGCUGAGGAGCGAAAGCGUGGGGAGCGAACAGG